AGUGAACGCUGGCGGUAGGCCUAACACAUGCAAGUCGAACGGCAGCACAGUAAGAGCUUGCUCUUACGGGUGGCGAGUGGCGGACGGGUGAGGAAUACAUCGGAAUCUACUUUUUCGUGGGGGAUAACGUAGGGAAACUUACGCUAAUACCGCAUACGACCUACGGGUGAAAGCAGGGGAUCUUCGGACCUUGCGCGAUUGAAUGAGCCGAUGUCGGAUUAGCUAGUUGGCGGGGUAAAGGCCCACCAAGGCGACGAUCCGUAGCUGGUCUGGAAGGAUGAUCAGCCACACUGGAACUGAGACACGGUCCAGACUCCUACGGGAGGCAGCAGUGGGGAAUAUUGGACAAUGGGCGCAAGCCUGAUCCAGCCAUACCGGGUGGGUGAAGAAGGCCUUCGGGUUGGAAAGCCCUUUUGUUGGGAAAGAAAAGCGGCAGGUUAAUACCCCGCUGUUCUGACGGUACCCAAAGAAUAAGCACCGGCUAACUUCGUG
rnacentral:rRNA from 1 species